rnacentral:lncRNA from 1 species
UACUCAAGUGUAGUGCCUGUCUGAUUUCCAGCUGUAUUCUAAAAUCAUGAUAGCAAUACAUAUAAAUUAAUUCUAGUUGGAAAGUGGACCCACUACGAUUGCAUUCAGUUCUGCUUAAGAUAUCCUUCUAUAGUCUAUCAUAAAAUCUGCUGUAGUCAGUAAUGAGAAAAAUCUUUGCCUGACUCAUUGUUGUGUAGAAAGAUGGGUCUAAAGCAAAGAUAUGUAAUGAAGGACAACUAGGAUAAUCAUAAGUCUUUCAUCAGGAGUAAUUUGUAAUUUUUGUAAUAAAGUGAGACAAAUUUCCUCUGUAAUGUACCAAUGCAGUAUGUCUUUUUCAAGGUGUAUUGUGAGAGAGAACCAAAAUAUUGUGUGCUGGCUCAGGCUAACACUGAAUUAGCAGCAGCUACAGGAAAACUAGAAGUCAGCAGGAAAAAGUUUCUUGAAGCUAUAUGGCUGAGAGAUGCAGUUGCUCUGGUGGUUAGUGCCUGGUUUCCUACCUGUGAAAUGUUAGAGGAUGGUGAGAAGCUGAGUUCCUUAGAAAAGUUCAGUAGAUGGAAUGAAGUGUGCAGACUGGUGAGUACAGGAUGCCUUCCUGUCUUUGCUCUCUGGGCUCAUCCUUUUUGUCCACCUAAACAUGUACAACAUGGUCAACAGUGAAUAAAUUUCUCUGCAGAUUUUCAUCCCUGUUAAAUGAUCCUGAACUGCACUGUUGAAUGUUACAUUUAAAAUCAGCUCAGCUUCCUCAGCUGGAAACUUGCAUUAAUC